rnacentral:pre_miRNA from 1 species
GGACUACUCCCUCCGUUCGGAAUUACUUGUCGCGAAAAUGGAUGUAUCUAGAUGUAUUUUAGUUCUAGUUACAUCCAUUUUCGAGACAAGUAAUUCGGAACGGAGGGAGUACUUG